GAUGAACGCUGGCGGCGUGCCUAACACAUGCAAGUCGAGCGAUUUACUUCGGUAAAGAGCGGCGGACGGGUGAGUAACGCGUGGGUAACCUGCCCUGUACACACGGAUAACAUACCGAAAGGUAUGCUAAUACGAGAUAAUAUACUUUUAUCUCAUGGUAGAAGUAUCAAAGCUCUGGCGGUACAGGAUGGACCCGCGUCUGAUUAGCUAGUUGGUAAGGUAACGGCUUACCAAGGCGACGAUCAGUAGCCGACCUGCGAGGGUGAUCGGCCACAUUUGAACGGGGACACGGUCCAAACACCUACGGGGUGCAGCAGUGGGGAAUAUUGCACAAUGGGCGAAAGCCUGAUGCAGCAACGCCGCGUGAGCGAUGAAGGCCUUCGGGUCGUAAAGCUCUGUCCUCAAGGAAGAUAAUGACGGUACUUGAGGAGGAAGCCCCGGCUAACUACGUGCCAGCCGCCGCGGUAA
rnacentral:rRNA from 1 species